GGCCAACUGGCCUAGUGGAUAAGGCAUCCGUUUCCGGUUCUCGCUUGCGGAAGAUCGCAGGUUCGAAUCCUGCGUUGGUCG
rnacentral:tRNA from 1 species